GAUUGAGUCAAGCCAGAGAGGCUGUAGGUCAGAGUGGAUAGACCACACGCUCUAAAGUCAGGCAGAACAUCUGGAUCCAGGUAGCGUAAUUCACUUCCUCUAUGAUCUCAGGCAAUCACAUUUAAUUUCCCUGAGCCUUCAUUUUCUCAGCUUCAAAACUGGAAGCACAACAUUUCACGUGUUGUUAUGGAGAUCAAAUGUAAUAAUGAACAUAGAAUCUUCGCACAACAGUCUGGCACACAGAUGAACCGGGGACAUCCUUUAAGACGUGCCAUGCUGUAAUGUGUAACUGACUUGAAGACUGCCAUGCUCUCUGGAAUUGUAGAUCCUGCCGGGUCUUCAAGCAGUGGUUGGUGAAGGCUACUACGAGAGCUGUGGCCCACUGUGCAUCGUCAUUUCUAUUUGUAGCUGAGUGGAGCUGGCAGCAGGCACAGGCUGGCAGCGGCUUGCAGCACACUCCUUGUCAAAGCACAUACUGUUUCUGCAGCUGGCCUAUAUUCCCUGUACAACCCAAUUAUACCAGCAUUGCUGAGUCUUGUGACAGUCACACAUUUCAUCACCUUGGGGGACCAGGAAGAGCAGCUUGGCCGUGGCAUGGGUGCCCUGUGCCCUCCCCUCCUCCUGUUCAUCAUGGCUUAGGAAUCUCGUUGGUCUCGCUUGGCACUGAGCGUGUGCUGUUCUUAACCAGAGCUGUCUGGAGCCCAGACCAGUUUCACCAUGCUGUGCCUAAGUUGGACCUACUUUUUUUUUUUUUAACCAGGACUUACCAACAUUUAUUUUCAACAUGAUCACAUUAAAAAACUUUCUGUAUUUUUCA